GGCCCGCCGUCCUCCGUGGGCGGGGGAGGGAAGCAGGUGGAUGAUCCGACUCCAGCCGUCAAGGCCCCCUGACCUGUCCUGCCCUCCUCUUGCCGUGACUUACGCUUGGAAAGGAGCUAGCAUUUCUGGUUGGGCGUGUUUUAUUUAUAGUGCAAGAACAUCCACCGCAUUCCCCACAAAGUGGGCCGAUGUAGCUACCAGCCUCUCGGGCCAGCCGGAGCCCAUCGGCAGGUCCCACGGAGCAGGAGCCCCCCUGUCGCGAGCCGUUCGCAGCCCGGGACCAGAAAGGACGGGGACGCCCGCAGCCGAGAUGGGUGUUUAUGCGGAUGGGCUCAGGCACCAGGGGCACCUCGCUCUCUGCGAGUUUCCUCCAACCACGUCUCGCGUUCAGGUGCCCGGAAAGCGCAGGUUAUUUCUGCCUGGACGUUGGCGGGAACCAGCCUGUGGGCAGAUCCAUCCGGUGGAGACUUUUGUAAAGUUUCCUCCUGCGCUCUUCGCGUGA
ensembl:lncRNA